UACGGAGGGGGCUAGCGUUGUUCGGAAUUACUGGGCGUAAAGCGCGCGUAGGCGGCUUUGUAAGUUAGAGGUGAAAGCCCGGAGCUCAACUCCGGAACUGCCUUUAAGACUGCAUCGCUAGAACGAUGGAGAGGUAAGUGGAAUUCCGAGUGUAGAGGUGAAAUUCGUAGAUAUUCGGAAGAACACCAGUGGCGAAGGCGGCUCACUGGCCCGGUACUGACGCUGAGGUGCGAAAGCGUGGGGAGCAAACAGG
rnacentral:rRNA from 1 species